rnacentral:tRNA from 5 species
GCACCCAUAGCUCAGCUGGAUAGAGCGUGGGAUUCCGGAUCCCAAGGCCGGAGGUUCGAAUCCUCCUGGGUGCG